rnacentral:rRNA from 1 species
CCUACGGGCGGCAGCAGUAGGGAAUUUUGCGCAAUGGGCGAAAGCCUGACGCAGCAACGCCGCGUGAUCGAGACGCCCUUCGGGGUGUAAAGAUCUGUCAGUGGGGACGAAACUUUACGGUACCCACAGAGGAAGCACCGGCUAACCCCGUGCCAGCAGCCGCGGUAAUACGGGGGGUGCAAGCGUUGUCCGGAAUCAUUGGGCGUAAAGAGUUCGUAGGCGGCACGUUAAGCCUGAGGUUAAGGGCAGGGGCUCAACUUCUGGACGGGACUGGCUACUGGCGAGCUAGAGUGCGGGAGAGGUAAAGGGAAUUCUGGGUGUAGCGGGGAAAUGCUUAGAUAUCAGGAGGAACAUCGGGGGCGAAAGCGCUUUACUGGGCCGUAAUGGACGCUGAGGAACGAAGGCCAGGGUAGCAAAAGGGAUUAGAUACCCCAGUAGUC